rnacentral:rRNA from 1 species
UACGAAGGGGGCGAGCGUUGUUCGGAAUUAUUGGGCGUAAAGAGCUCGUAGGCGGUCGGUCGCGUCGGCUGUGAAAACCCGGAGCUCAACUCCGGGCCUGCAGUCGAUACGGGCAGACUGGAGUUCGGCAGGGGAGACUGGAAUUCCUGGUGUAGCGGUGAAAUGCGCAGAUAUCAGGAGGAACACCGGUGGCGAAGGCGGGUCUCUGGGCCGAUACUGACGCUGAGGAGCGAAAGCGUGGGGAGCGAACAGG